rnacentral:rRNA from 1 species
AGAGUUUGAUCCUGGCUCAGGACGAACGCUGGCGGCGUGCUUAACACAUGCAAGUCGAACGAAGAGCGAUGGAAGCUUGCUUCUAUCAAUCUUAGUGGCGAACGGGUGAGUAACGCGUAAUCAACCUGCCCUUCAGAGGGGGACAACAGUUGGAAACGACUGCUAAUACCGCAUACGAUCCAAUCUCGGCAUCGAGACUGGAUGAAAGGUGGCCUCUAUUUAUAAGCUAUCACUGAAGGAGGGGAUUGCGUCUGAUUAGCUAGUUGGAGGGGUAACGGCCCACCAAGGCGAUGAUCAGUAGCCGGUCUGAGAGGAUGAACGGCCACAUUGGGACUGAGACACGGCCCAGACUCCUACGGGAGGCAGCAGUGGGGAAUCUUCCGCAAUGGACGAAAGUCUGACGGAGCAACGCCGCGUGAGUGAUGACGGCCUUCGGGUCGUAAAGCUCUGUUAAUCGGGACGAAUGGUUCUUGUGCAAAUAGUGCGAGGAUUUGACGGUACCGGAAUAGAAAGCCACGGCUAACUACGUGCCAGCAGCCGCGGUAAUACGUAGGUGGCAAGCGUUGUCCGGAAUUAUUGGGCGUAAAGCGCGC